rnacentral:rRNA from 1 species
AUUGAACGCUGGCGGCAUGCCUUACACAUGCAAGUCGAACGGCAGCGGGGGAGAAGCUUGCUUUUCCUGCCGGCGAGUGGCGAACGGGUGAGUAAUACAUCGGAACGUGCCCUGUAGUGGGGGAUGACUAGUCGAAAGAUUAGCUAAUACCGCAUACGACCUGAGGGUGAAAGUGGGGGACCACAAGGCCUCAUGCUAUAGGAGCGGCCGAUGUCUGAUUAGCUAGUUGGUGGGGUAAAGGCCUACCAAGGCGACGAUCAGUAGCUGGUCUGGGAGGACGGUCAGCCACACUGGGACUGAGACACGGCCCAGACUCCUACGGGAGGCAGCAGUGGGGAAUUUUGGACAAUGGGCGAAAGCCUGAUCCAGCAAUGCCGCGUGUGUGAAGAAGGCCUUCGGGUUGUAAGGCACUUUUGUCCGGAAAGAAAUGGCUCUGGUUAAUACCUGGGGUCGAUGACGGUACCGGAAGAAUAAGGACCGGCUAACUACGUGCCAGCCGCCGCCGUAA